GCCAUGUUCCCAUAAAGGUAUUGGAGCAGAUUGCUAAUCUGUCGGUCGAAUAUUCGACUUGUAGGUUCGAAUCCUGCACAUGGCG
rnacentral:tRNA from 1 species